AUUGAACGCUGGCGGCAGGCCUAACACAUGCAAGUCGAGCGGAGGAAGGGAGCUUGCUCCUGGAUUCAGCGGCGGACGGGUGAGUAAUGCCUAGGAAUCUGCCUGGUAGUGGGGGAUAACGUCCGGAAACGGGCGCUAAUACCGCAUACGUCCUGAGGGAGAAAGUGGGGGAUCUUCGGACCUCACGCUAUCAGAUGAGCCUAGGUCGGAUUAGCUAGUUGGUGGGGUAAAGGCCUACCAAGGCGACGAUCCGUAACUGGUCUGAGAGGAUGAUCAGUCACACUGGAGCUGAGACACGGUCCCGCCUCCUACGGGAGGCAGCAGUGGGGAAUCUUGGACAAUGGGCGAAAGCCUGAUCCAGCCAUGCCGCGUGUGUGAAGAAGGUCUUCGGCUUGUAAAGCACUUUAAGUUGGGAGGAAGGGCAGUAAGUUAAUACCUUGCUGUUUUGCCGUUACCAACAGAAUAAGCACCGGCUAACUUCGU
rnacentral:rRNA from 1 species